rnacentral:lncRNA from 1 species
CCCACACAUCACCACGAGACUUUCCAGUGUGCUUUGUCCUCACUCGCACACUUUCCGGAAAACAUCCCGGAAGGUCACCCAUCCCAAAAUUUCUCCAGGCUAAGCACGCUUAACCAUGGAGUUCUUAUGGGUUAGGCUUCCGAAAAGUAAAUGCAUUUUGGUGAUAUGGGUAGCCAAAUCAAUUCCUUUAAGCUAUCCUUCAAC